rnacentral:lncRNA from 1 species
UUGUUUAUCAGCCGUACGGCGCGCUUUCUAGGUUAGGAUUUGGUUUUAUUUGAAAUUUAAUUUUUAAUUUCAUAAUCUUUCUCUCAGCGCAGCAGAAUCGAAUGAGAAACUUUGCUCAGGAGGCUUUCCGCAAUCAUCAAGCCCUCAAAAAAUGAAUCAGGAAGUAAAAGGAGUGCGCCAAAGCAAAAAAUGAACAAAACUGUCAAAGUGCCAACUCAAAAAAGUAAGACUCAACUGUCAGCCACAAAGAUGUUGAGGAGAAAAAAGUGAAGCAUCUAGAAAAACUUGUGAAGUACUACAUCAAUAGGCUAUCAUUUGACUCAGCUUUAUUUUGGGCCCAGCGUCUUCUAUCAAUAGACAAAUCUGCUGAGAGUAUCUAUCUACUAGGGAGAUGUUUAUUUCUGAAGAAACAAUAUCGUCGUGCCAUUAAUGUCAUCAGAGAGGCUGGUUUAGACAAGAAGGAAAUAAAUCCAUUAUGUUUUUACCUCGUUUGCAAGUGUUUAUAUAUGGUGGGUGACUACCCUGAAGCUCUAGAUUUACCAGUGGAGAACCACAGAAUGUUCAUCUUACAGAUGCUCCCUUCUCCUGCACUAGCAGAAGGAAAUCUAAAUGGAUGAAAAAAUAUGGCCAAAAGAAAAAUAUUGAACCUUCUCUUACUGUUUUGAAAGCUCAAAUUCACGAGAAAAUGGAAAAUAGAAUCGUUGCUGCAGAAAACUAUAAGAAAGCCUUGGAGCAAGAUAUAUUUUGCUAUGAAGCUUUUCAGCUUUAGUCAGUCAUCAUAUGAUUUCUUCUCAAGAAGGUAUAAAAUUUUAUAUUAAACUUGCUGCCCAAAAUAUCUACUCAAUAAAUAUGUUACAAACUGUUUGCUUAAUCAGUUAUAU